UAAUAAGUGUUUUAUGGCACUUCUUAAAUCCAUAUCCACCUUGUGUGCAAUGUCAGCCGAUUCUUCUUAUGAGAAGCGGCCAAACAUCAACUUAUUUUUUAACUGUCUGUCUGAAAACUAUUAUGAAUAAACAAUUCAAAAUA
rnacentral:misc_RNA from 1 species